rnacentral:pre_miRNA from 1 species
GGUUUGUUUGUAGAGCUCCUUGAAGUCCAAAAGAGGUUCUUUCGGGGAAAAUUGAGCUGCUAAUCCAUGGAUCCCUCAACCCUAUCCAUAUCUAUAGAUCCAUAUUGGAUAGGUUUGUGGGUUGCAUGUAUCAGGAGCCUGCAUUUCUCAAGUUGGAUCCUUCUUUGGAUUGAAGGGAGCUCUAUACUUAUCCCUA